rnacentral:rRNA from 1 species
UACGUAGGGCGCAAGCGUUAUCCGGAAUUAUUGGGCGUAAAGAGCUCGUAGGCGGUUUGUCGCGUCUGCCGUGAAAGCCCCGGGCUCAACCUGGGAAUUGCAUUCGAGACUGAAUAGCUAGGGUGCGGUAGAGGGAAGCGGAAUUUCCGGUGUAGCGGUGAAAUGCGUAGAUAUCGGAAGGAACAUCAGUGGCGAAAGCGGCUUCCUGGACCAGCACCGACGUUCAGGCACGAAAGCGUGGGGAGCAAACAGG